UGCAGCCAGCGCGGCCCCACGGCCCCCCCGCCGCUGCGCCGUCCCCUCCCCGGGCGGGAGGCGGCUCCGGGCCCGGCCCGGGGGGAGGAACUACAAGUCCCGUGGAGCCGCGCCGCCGCCGCCGCCGCUAUAUAAGGGGGGAAAUGGCCCGGCCGCCGCAGUGGGAGCAUCCUCGGCACCUGGGGCCGGUGGCCGCGGCUUUCCGCCGUGCUCCCCGCCCGCUGCGGGCUCCGGCCCGGCUGCCGGGAGCGGCGCGGCGCCUCCCCCGCUGCCGCCGGGGCCGCUGAGCCGCUUCCCCGGCGCGGAGCCGCCGUGCGGGGCCGGUCCCCGGAGGAGGAGGAGGAGGAGGAGGAUGCCGGAGCCCGCGGGGACGACGCAGCGCGGCCGGAGGGAGGUGUGGUGGGCUGGUGGAGAGGAGAAAAACAACAACCCGGGGGCUGGUCUCCAGGAGGAACGUUAGGCACUGGAGACCUUGUGACUCCCUCCGUGUGUGGCCCGACUGGACGUGCCGUUCGCCCUCCCGGUGUCGGAGCGAGCCAGGUCUUGGGUAAGCAGAUGACGCCUCACUGGGGAGCAUGCGGUUUGUGGGAGG
rnacentral:lncRNA from 1 species